rnacentral:piRNA from 1 species
UAAUGAUAGGUGUCAUGUGGCCUGGAUU